rnacentral:lncRNA from 1 species
UGGAUAUUUGGGUACUGUGUACUUAAAUGGUUUAUUAUCUUAGCAAUGAACCCACUACACAUUAUUUUGUGUAUAUGGCUUUUUUCGUGCUAAAGAUGUAUGGAAAAAUAACUGUAGCUAAUGUUUUUUGAUCAUUCCUCUGUGACAGCCACUUCGCAGAUAUUCUCAUUGAAAGAAUGACUCCUGGGCUCUUAUUUUUAAUGUUUCACCUCUUGUUUUCUGUUUAUUUAUUUUGGUUUCAGGAGUGUUUACCUAAAACAAAAUAGAACGUGUUAUGUUUAAAGUAAGGGGGAAAUUCUGUGAAAAUAGAAACAAUGAAGAAAAUAACACCCAAUUCACUGAGAAUUUUGCCUUUAUACAGGAUACAGAAUCUAAAACCAUUUAAUCUACCCACAGAACCCUCUGAACCAAAAGUAGCCCUAUGGACAACCAGACUAGAUUAGAGUUUCUCCACUUCAGCAUUACUGAUAUUUUGUACUCAAUCAUUCUUUGUUGUAGAGGGCUGCCCUGUAGGCUGUAGGAUGUUGAGCAGCAUCCUUGGCCUCCACCUGCUAGAUGCCAGUAGUCCCCCAUCCCCAGUUGUGACAAAUAAAAAUGUCUCCAGAUAUUGCUAGAUGUCUCUUGGGAGGUGAACUUGGCCCUGGUUGAGAUCCACCAACUAAAUGGUCUUGUCAUAUUCCAUGGAAGUACACAUGCAGGGAACCUAUCACCUGUCUAUUUCAUAUUCUCUUGGUAGUUCUUGUACAUUCAUUUAUUUGCCUGACAUUUAUUGAGACACAUUCCCUAAGAACUAAAUGUUAAGUAGAUUUGGUAGUUAGACCGUCACUCCAAGAGUCUUGAAUAUGACUUAACUUGCUAGCAGAUUUGCCAACAAUUUAUCAGACUAUCAAUUUUAUCAGAAAGUUCCCAACAAUUUAUAAUCACCAUUCUGCACUUUUAAAAAUUUUCAGGUUUCUUUAAAAAUAAAUAGAAAAGUAGACCUAGGCAGGAUUUACAAUGCAUUAGUGACCAGGGGGUUUUUAUUGACCUUAAAGAGGCCCACUUACGGCCCUCUACAACUCUGGGCUAAUGCAGUUUGUUUGAAGUUUUGUUGUGUUUAGCAUAUGAGAAGCUUCCAGCUAUGUAAAUUCAGUGACUGUUUUAAUUGAUUAAAUCAUAACCUGAGCUAAGUGGAUAUGAUGAAAGCAAGAUCGACCUGUAUUAAAAUUUUAAGGAAAGGACAAUUUUUUAAAGUUAAUGUACACACUUAUAUGCAUGCAUAAAUAUUUUUCUACUCUCACACAAGGAGGAUUUUCAAUCUCUCUGUACAUAGUAAGCGUAGGCUGCAGACUAUCUAGCCCUUGGAUGUUCAUUUUCUUCGCUUAGUCAUUUUAAAGACGCUCCUCUUGCUGUGCGUGGUUUGCUCUUUCUCUUUCUUGCUCAUAUUUUUGAAUUGUGCAUUUACAAUGAAUAAAAAAAGAAAAAAACCUCCUAACUUGCAGUGUAAUUGUGCAUGAGGAGUAUAUUUUGGUCCCUGCCGCUGUGUCAGAGCCUCAGAGCAGGGAUGCUGUUGCCAUGGAGACAGAUGUUGAGCUGGUUUCAUCACCUUUGCCCUGCUAUUUAAAAUCAUACUCACAGCAAAGCUCUGGCAGACAUAGGGCUUUCUCUGGUAGGUCAACCACCUCCUCCCCUUUUCUCUUUUAAAAACAACAACUUGGCAGAUUAAUGCUAUUUUCAUUUAUGACUGUUAUAAAACAUAAUGUAAAUAUCCUCCUGCACAGAAUGAAUGGGUAGCUCUUUGUGUUGUCUUGUUCCAGCAUGAAACUGAAAUUCCUUGAGAGUUUGCCAAAACCAGUUCCUUUAAUGGGUUCUCCUUCGGGUUCUGCCAUCUCUCUUGGCUUUCGGAGAGUACCAGAGCAGUGGGUAGAGAAGAGAGAGACGCCAAGGACAUUAUAGGGUGAGACAAAAAGCAAUAGAAGGGAAGUUAAUCACAGGCUUUUAAAAUAUUGUUUAAACAAACCCCGCUGUGUUUGGGGAGUAGGCACUCUCAUACACUCAUGGUGAAUGAUUAGGCCAGUGCUGCCUUUCUGAAGGCAAUGGGGUAGUGCAUAUCAGAAGCCUAAAAAAUGUCCGUAGCCUCAUCAGUGACAAUUCUAGCAAGUUUUUCUAAGAAAAGAAUGUAAACAAAGAUUUGCAUACAGGAUUAUUCAUCACAGUUUUAUUUAUGACAGUGGAAAACAAGAAACAACCAGUUUCAGAAAAAUGUCCGUAAAAGGGGAUUGAUUGAAUUAAAUCUAGUACAUCGCAUGGUGGAAUACUAGGCAAUUGUAUUAUAUAAUAGCACAGAAGCAUAUUUAUUAACCCGAAAAGAUGUUUAAGUGAUAUUAUUGAAUGAAAAAAAAAAAGCAGGUUACAAUUUGCUGAUACUAAGUGUGUUAGUAUUCCAUGGGGAAACUGGAAGGUUAUAUGCCAAAUUUUAGUUCUUUGAGUGUUAUUAUAAUUUCUUCUUUUUAUUUCUUUAAUUUGCAAGUUUUACAGUGACCCUCCAUUACUUGUAUAAUUUUAAAAGUCAAUGAGUAAAUAAUUUUACUUAUGUGAAAUAUUUUUUAAUUUAAAAAAUCCUAGAAGCUUUCCUUAAGAAAGGGAAUUUUUACUCAAUGCCCUGAGAACUCCACAACUAACUCAUUGCCUUCUGCUCUCCAAAUUGAUUCUUUACAAAUUCGAGAGGGCAAUUUGUUCUUUUGGACUCCACACAAUACAGCUAGUUAAAUCCCCUUGAAAGCAUUAAACCUACGGAAUUUUCAAGCUCCUCUCAACCGGUGUUCAGAAUAGCCCCCAAGAAAGCAGGGCUCACACUAUCCAUCACCUGGCAGAACUCCCGGCUCCCCAACUACCGACAUCCAUGAAGGCCAGCUCUGCGGUGGGGAGGCACCAGCUGCCAUGAGAGCUGAGAUGAGCUGCAGAUGAGGGGAUUUAAUAGUCCCAUCUCUGCCCUCGCAGAACCUUGCCAUUGGGGUUGCGGGGAUGGGGGUGGGGAAUAAACCUUGAGCAAAUCAUAAAUAAACUUGCAGCUAGGAUGUGACGGCAAGUCUCCACGCUCUCUCUCUCUCUCUCUCUCUCUCCCCCUCCCCACACACGACAGAUGAAUUUGUCAUUUCCAACGGCAGCUUUUCCCAAUAUGAUGGGAGGAGCGUGGUUGUGAAAGAGUGAGUCCUCCUUUGUCACCUGUAUUUAUUUCCUUUCCGAAUGGAGGCAUUUUUGUGAGUUCAAGAUAAUGGGCAGCAGCAUCUGAGGUGAACAGCUGAGACACCAUCUCCGUGCUCAUUACUUGGGUGACUCUGCCCCGCUCCAGUGUCUUGCACAUCAUCUCACCAAACCAGAGUAAACUCUUGGGGCGUGAUGAAGAAGCAUAUAACGCCCUGAACGAGAUUUCCACGACCCCCCUGUAGAGCAUGGACACCCUAUUUACCGUGGAGACCUUGAAACUGCCUGGUGCGCGGAGCGGCUCUUUCCAGCACUCCUUUGCUGCUCUGGGCCCCCGGAAGGGCAUGGCCUUCAUCCUCUGCCAAGUCAGGCAAGGAAGCGGAGGUCCCUGAGCGCCCCUGACCCGCGUCAAAACUUCGCCCUCACCUUUUCACUGCCUGCCUGCUCUGCGGGAGUCCAGAGGCGGCCCUGUCGCUGGGCAGGUGAGGCAGAUCAAAGGCAAAGUGCCUCCUCAGGUGGCCCUUACCUGAGCACUUCAAAUGGUAGCCUUUAAUCACGAGAGCAGCUUCUACACGGGCUUCAGAUUUUGAAAAAUAGUAUUGGUCAAGAGGUACCAGACAGCAAGGUCUAAGAACAAAACACUAAAACACAGGGGAGAAAAGAUAUGUCCGUACUAAAUACAAGGCAGACCGUUGCUUUUUAAUUUCCCCAGUGUUGCUUGAUUAUAUAUGGUACUCUUUUUUAAAAAGUCAGGAUGUAUCGGUAUUUCAGAUUAGUUCAACCAGGUUAAUUUUAUUUAACUUCUCUGUGCCUCACUAUUCUUUUCUGGAAAAUGGUAAUAGAAAUAGAAACCACCCCCAUAGCGUUGUUCUGAGGGUGAAAUAAAUUAGCAUGUGUAAACCCCCUCCAAGGCCCUGGCACCUGGUGAAUGCUCAAUAAUUGCCGUUAUCAUUAUCGUUGUCAUUAUCAUUACUAAGCACCCCUCGCUCCCAGCCCCUCUGCUGAGACUUGUAUAUGUCAUAGUUGAAUCUUUUCUCUUGCACUGUAUCAUUCCACUGUAUGAACACUAUCUAUCCAUUCUCCUACUAGUGAACACUUGAGUUCUUUGCGUUUGGGGGCCAUUAUUAAUAAAGCUGCUAUGAAUCGUCUGGUACUUGUCCUUUGCGGGACCUAUGCACCUAUUUCUUUUGGGUACACACUUUGGAGUAUAAGUAGUGUAUCACUGUUCAGUUUCAGUAGAUAUUGCCAAAUAGUUCCCAAAGUAUUGACAGUACUUAUUUGUCAAACAUGUAUUUUAUGUCAACCACGGAAUCUCCUGGGUUCCAGAGCUAUAGGAUGAACAGGACGUAGUUCCUAACCGCCACCCCCCGCCGAGUUAGAUGCGCUACGCUUGCUGGGUAGCACCUGAAACAUCCUGGUUUUUACUUUGCCCCUUUAUCUUCUAGUAGAUCAGUAUGAGUGUCAUAGAACUGACAGAAGAGUCGAGAAGCAGAAAAUAUCCGCAUUGUGCUCAGAGUCUGCCAGAUCACAAAACUUAUUAGCGGCCAAACUAGAAUUAGUAGAGGAACAACAACAAGGAGUAAGAGUUGAAACAACGGACUUCCUGUUGUGGUGCAGCGGUUAAUGAGCCCAACUAGCAUCCAUGAGGAUGCAGAUGCGACCCUUGGCCGCGCUCAAUGGGCUAAGGAUCCAGCGUUGCUGUUUUUGUGGUGUAGGUCGAAGAUGCAGCUCAGAUCCUGCCUUGCUGUGGCUCUGGUUUAGGCCGAUGGCUCCAGCUCGGAUUGAAUCCCUAGCCUAGGAACCUCCAUAUGCUGUGGGUGUGGCCCUAAAAAGACGGAAAAAAAAAAAAAAAACAAGAAAACAGCAACAGGUAUUCCCACUGUGGUACAGUAGGAUAAGGAUCCAGUGUUGCUGCAGCUGCAGCUGCAGUGUAGGUCACAGCUGUGGCUCAGAUUCUGUCACUGGCCUGGGAACUUCCAUAUGCCUCGGGUGCGGCCAAAAACAAAAACAAACCAGCAACAAAAAUUCCAUACUUGCCUCCAUACAACUGAGUCAUAAACCUUCAAAGGGAAGCCGUCCUCAGGUUUAUGCAGUAAGGGGCGGUUCCUGCCCCUGCUGGCCUUUAUUAGACCAAUGUGUGGUACAUUAGCAGAGUGUUUCUGGAACCCCAGGGAGCUCCUGAACCCUGUGCUCUUGAAAAUCCCAGAAUUGAGCUACCUGAGCUCACCCUUUGUUUGGCUCCAGAAGAAGGCAAACAAGAGGAAUAUCAGUAGUUACCUAUGUCGGCCAAAAAUGUCCUCAAACAUUGCCAAAUGUCCCUUGGGGGCAAAAUCGUUCCUGCCUGAACCACUGGGAUAUACUUAUGUUAAGAACGUGAGGAGUUCCCGUCGUGGCGCAGUGGUUAACGAAUCCGACUAGGAACCAUGAGGUUGCGGGUUCGGUCCCUGCCCUUGCUCAGUGAGUUAAGGAUCCAGCGUUGCCAUGAGCUGUGAUGUAGGUCGCAGAUGCGGCUCGGAUCCCGCGUUGCUGUGGCUCUGGUGUAGGCCGGUGGCUGCAGCUCCGAUUCGACCCCUAGCCUGGGAACCUCCAUAUGCCGCGGGAGCGGCCCAAGAAAUAGCAAAAAG